rfam:Myotis brandtii contig229953, whole genome shotgun sequence.
GCUGGUGUGGCUCAGCGGAUAGAGCGUUGGUCUGUGAACCAAAGGGUCUGGGGUUCGAUUCCCGGUCGAGGGCA